AGUCUGUCUCGGCAGGAGUCUCUGUCUGCAUCUGAUGCGUGUCGUCUCGUGUACGUGUUUACCUUAUAUCUCGUAUUAUCGAGUUACCAUUAACUUUCGCGACUUACUAUUUACUUAGCGCUAUGUCGCGAAUGCGAGAAACAGAGCUGUCGCGCGAUCGUUCUCUGAACAUCGAGGAGGUCGAACGAGCGCCUUCGCUCGAUAACGAUCAACUACGCUCAAAUCCGACAAGAAUUUCGAUAGCAGACACCGAAACUACUGUCGUCAAUGAAGACGUCAUCAACGUUAAUUUUUGUCCCGUAUCGCAUAUAAACGUACCGACUGAAGCCGUGGAAGAGGAAGAGAAGAAGGAUGAAGAGGAGAAUGAAGACAAAGUGUACGAAAGAGAGGACGUCGAUAAUGGGCGGCAGCAGCAACAUGAAGCUUUGCGACCAUUGAAUGCGACGGUCGUUGACAUGAAUUCCGCGAGUGGUCAGGGCUUAGAGAUUCGAACCGACAUUGGCUCGAUUCUCGUUUCGGGCACCACUCUACAACCAUUUCGGUGCUCGUACUUUUCAAAAAUUCAUACCAGACCGGCAAAAAUUGCCGUUUGUAUGAACACCAAAUUCACGCGGUAUCUGAGCCAGCGAGACCGAUACGACAUACAACGUCCUCAUUUUUCAACGAGUCACAACAACAUCGAGCCGUGUGCCACAUGGUACGAGUUUCAGUGUUUCGAGAUCGACUCCCAUCCGCUCUUCGCCGUCUUUCAGCUGGAUCACACCAGCCCGCUGUUCGAUGAUAUGCCAGAGUACACGACCUGCGAAGAGGAGGGACGAUUAGUACGUGUAGCAACUACAGCCUUCAUGCAUAAAAUAAUGUUGAGAGCGGCCCGAAUGCUGCGAACAGAUACUCCAACGGCUAAGACGGAUUUAAAGUAUGUUUUAUACGACGUACAACGAUCGUUCAAUGUCAUCCGGCGUGAAUACUGUUCGUACGUUCGAAAAAUCACAAAGUGUCUCUUAGCGACGGAUUUGCGGAAAAAAUGUGGCAUAUCUGAUAUCCGUUUUUACAUGUAUCUCCAUGGAGUGCGACUACCAAAAAGUAAUGCUCGAAAACUUUUGAGUGAUAUGAUCGACAUUGAUCACGAUCACGUAGAUGUGAUCCAGAUAUAUCGCGCGGACACUCUCACCUUUAAGAACGACGAUCCUAUAGUCGUGAAACUAACGGGAAGAGGAUCCGAUUCGAUCGCCUCAUUUUUCGAAGGAUCCAUAGACAGUCAAUCGACGCAACGUUAUUACGUGGGAUUUACGGCUGAUUACGGCUAUUUCACGCGGUACGCUUCCCCACCUUUCCUAAAUCAUGCCAUCACCUUCGUGCAAGCAUGUCACGAGGCAACAAUGGAAAAGAGUGCGAAUUCUGGAUUGUUGGGCGCGUUUGCGAUUUGCCGCGGAUACGCCGACGCGAAUCGCAAAUUAAAAAAAACGGCCGCUCACACGCGACAACAUUUGCAUUAUCUGUUAGCCUUCUGCGAGCACUAUAUGCGUAAAAGGCAGGCAUUGAGAGUAGAGGAAGUGAUUACCCUUGACACACUUCGAAUCGAUGGUUCUAUGUCAGAAGAGAUUACGCGUCUGAAAAUUUUCCAGCAAGAUGAAAUGUGCGUGUCGACUAGUUAUUUUUUACGCCACGGUACGCUAUACCGCCUAUCCAACUGGAAUCAAUAUAUGGACCUAAAUAUUGGCGACGAUCUUCGCUUUUUGCACUCUGUAUUGCACAGCACGUACGAGUCGUACGGCCAAGACACAUGGACAAGUCCACAAACUAUUCGUCGCACAAUAAGGGCGGAUUUUAGAGUAACCUAUUUUGUUAACGGAUUGCUCAGAACACAAAACUUUCAGAUCGCAAAAAACAUGUUUUGCGGAACGACCGAAAGUCGAUCUAUCGAUCGCGGUAGAAUAUGUUUAAGGGAAUUAAACGAUCCUACGGACACAUCAAUAUAUCCAUUUUUUACACACGAUAUUCGGAAUUCUGUCAUGAACAUUAUUAGAUUUAUAUGGAACAUUAUCUGCACAUUACCUGAUCCCUCAACGGUAGCGGCAGAGGAGUUUGACGACGUGAAAGAAAAUGACGGCAGUUAUGAUGAUGAUCUUAAAGGUUUAAGAUUCCUCGUAUGCCUAUACGCGUCAUGGGCAUACAACGCGGAAUUGGUUCACCACGAUACUGCGUCAUCCGCCGCCAAAGUGACCGUCGACAGCGUUAACGUUUUGCGGUACUUUAACGAAUGGAAGAACGUCUUUUCAUUACAAUUUUUUAUCGAUGAACACCGAAGAAAAGGCGUGAUAAAUUGUUGCGCAAAAAUAACGAAACAGGGAAUUGAAGAGCAGAACGCAAGUCACCUCGCCCUUCUUGAUCCGCAAACUAUGUUUGCAAACGUUGUCAUGAUGUGCAUUAGAACAUCCAAUCGUCCUCGAAUGAUUAAUCUGCUCAGCAAAUUUAUUAAUCGACGCUGUCAAGUUCUUCCCGUUCACCUAUUAAAACAGCACUCAAAGCAGUACGACUGGGCCGUUGUUAUAAACGCUGCAACAUUACCAGGUAACGUUCACGUAAGCGCGGGAUACGUUCAACAGCAAUUAAAUAUAUUGAGACAGCGAGCCAAUCAAAGAAGAUGCCUGACAACUGAACUCCGUGGAACUCGUCGUUAUAGAAUUCGUACCACCGUAAGGAGUACAAAACGUCCCGUUGUCGCCGCCGUCGUAUCGCCGCGUCAUUCGCGCGUGUCGAAACGUACCGACUCGACAAAAGAUUUGGGUCGUUCAUCCCCAUUAUCGUCUUCUACUGACGACAGUAAUAGGGAUGAAGCCGUCAUGAGGACGCAUGUUGCGAUGACUGAAGGUCGCUCAAAUCAAAACAUCGUCGUUAGAGAUGUUCGUAUUCUCGAUCGCUUAUUAUCGGUACCACCAUCGCCGUCGCCGUCGUCGCCAUUGUCCCUACCAACGUCGACCUUAGACGACCACUGUCUGGACUGUCUGGAGGAGCCUAUUCCAUCAAUGUCGAAGACGAUAUUUGUCCACCCAUCGAUGUCUCCUCCUCCGUCGACGUCCUCCUCGAGAGCGAGCGCAAUCGCCGCUGAUUGUCCGAUGGAUGAACGGUUUCCGUCGAUCUAGGGCGACUAUAAUAAUGGUACCGUCAACAACGUUUCAGCCAACUGCAGGGGUGGAUACUACCCAACCCUGACCAACUGUAAUUUCAAUACCUUCGACACGACGAUCCCAAAGGCUCGCGGCAAAAAACAAACAUAAGGACACGGAUCAACGUUCUACGACGUUGUUGGAGAACGUUUCAUUAUCACGCGAUACAAAACAAUCCAAUAAUAGACCUAGAAAAAAAAUGAAGAUGUAAAUCGGUAAAUCAUUUUACCGCAAAACAUGAUAAAGCUCUAAUUCAACAAGCUCUGUUAACUUACAAUAUACAGAAUUUAUACACAUAGUAUGAAUUACAAAGACUUAUGCCGAAGCUUUUUUUAAACUUCACAGCGGAACAAAUGCGAUACCGAUUACGCCAAAUUUGUGCCGGUGUAACGAGUGAGUCAGUCAAAAGAUAAUAUGCCGAUGAAAUCAAACAGUUGAAAACAUUAAGCACAUAAAAUAAUAAAAAAUUGAUUUUACUAAACACAUUCUCAGUUUUUAUUUUAUAUAAUAUCGUGUGUGCUCUCUGUCAAUAUAGUUAAUAGUCUCUGCAGAUUAUUUUGUCUUGAAAUGCUCUUGUCGUUAAUAACGCUUUUAUUGUAAUUAUCGAUUUCAUGUCAUGUAAUACCUGAAACGCUCUUGUAAUAAUGUUUUUGUUGUUAUUAUUGUGCUUAUGUCAUAUUUAUUAUAUGAUAGAAAAAAACAUUUCAAAAGACUUUCCAAAAAGUUAUUUCUUUCAAAUAUUUAAUUUUAAAUAAUCAUUUAUCUACAUUUCGCUAUUAACGUAAGUACAUAAUUAUUUGCAAUAGGAAGUAUAUUAUGCACAUUAAUAUGCACAUUCAAAAAUGAAAAUGAUUGAAAAAUUACUUUUUUUUUGGAACAUUAAUUUUAGCGAGUAAUUCGAUAUAUGAAAUAUUUAGUCCAUAUAUCUAAUGUUUCUGUUAUACAUCAUAAGACAUUAAAAGCAGAACAAGUUGCGACAAAUUGAAAAUAAUUAUGUAUCGAUUACUAAUUUCAAUUGUCAAUAAUUACUUAUACUGCAUCAUUACUGUAUGUUGUAAUAUUAAUUCUGUUGAUUAAAGUUAAG